ACUCCGGUUGAUCCUGCCGGACCCCACUGCUAUGGGGAUGGGACUAAGACAUGCUAGUCGUGCGCCUCCAAGCCACGGUGGAGGUGCGGCGCACAGCUCAGUAACACGUGGCUAACCUACCCUUGGGACGGGGACAACUCCGGGAAACUGGAGCUAAUUCCCGAUAGGUGAGGACUCCUGGAAUGGGUCUUCACCGAAAAGACGCCUAAACCAUGCUUUUAGGCGCCGCCCAAGGAUGGGGCCGCGGCCGAUCAGGUUGUUGGUGAGGUAACGGCUCACCAAGCCUAUAACCGGUACGGGCCGUGGGAGCGGGAGCCCGGAGAUGGUCACUGAGACAAGGGCCCAGGCCCUACGG
rnacentral:rRNA from 1 species